AAGACCUUGCACUUUUGGAGCGGCCGAUGUCUGAUUAGCUAGUUGGUGGGGUAAUGGCCUACCAAAGCUUCGAUCAGUAGCUGGUCUGAGAGGACGGCCAGCCACACUGGGACUGAGACACGGCCCAGACUCCUACGGGAGGCAGCAGUUGGGAAUUUUGGACAAUGGGCGCAAGCCUGAUCCAGCCAUGCCGCGUGAGUGAAGAAGGCCUUCGGGUUGUAAAGCUCUUUCAGCCGGGAAGAAAAGGUUGCGAUUAAUAAUCGCAAUUUAUGACGGUACCGGAAGAAGAAGCACCGGCUAACUACGUGCCAGCAGCCGCGGUAAUACGUAGGGUGCGAGCGUUAAUCGGAAUUACUGGGCGUAAAGGGUGCGCAGGCGGUUUUGUAAGUCAGAUGUGAAAUCCCCGGGCUUAACCUGGGAACU
rnacentral:rRNA from 1 species